rnacentral:rRNA from 1 species
CGCCGUCGAUGCUUCAUUCAAAUUUCUGCCCUAUCAGCUUUCGAUGGUAGGAUCUUGGCCUACCAUGGCUAUAACGGGUAACGGGGAAUUAGGGUUCGAUUCCGGAGAGGGAGCUUGAGAAACGGCUACCACAUCCAAGGAUGGCAGCAGGCGCGCAGAUUACCCAAUCCCGACACGGGGAGGUAGUGACAAUAAAUAACGAUGCUGGAUUAUUUUUAGUCCGGCAAUUGGAAUGAGAGUGAUUUAAAUACACACUCGAGUAACCAUUGGAGGGCAAGUCUGGUGCCAGCAGCCGCGGUAAUUCCAGCUCCAAUAGCGUAUAUUAAAGUUGUUGCAGUUAAAAAGCUCGUAGUCUGAGUCUUGGUUGGCGUUGAGCGUCCGUGGCUAAUUUUUUGGUCGCGCGCAUGCGAUAUACGCUGGCCAUUGUACUUCGGAGGAACAUGGGUGCUUUUAACUAAGUGCUCAUGGGAUUCCGAUAGUUUACUUUGAGAAAAAUAGAGUGUUCAAAGCAGGCGUUUUGCCUUGAAUACAUCAGCAUGGGAUAAUGGAAUAGGACAUUGGUUCUAUUUUGUUGGUUUACGGACCGAUGUAAUGAUUAAUAGGAACAGUUGGGGACAUU